rnacentral:rRNA from 1 species
AUUGAACGCUGGCGGCAGGCCUAACACAUGCAAGUCGAGCGGAUGAAGGGAGCUUGCUCCUGGAUUCAGCGGCAGACGGGUGAGUAAUGCCUAGGAAUCUGCCUGGUAGUGGGGGAUAACGUCCGGAAACGGGCGCUAAUACCGCAUACGUCCUGAGGGAGAAAGUGGGGGAUCUUCGGACCUCACGCUAUCAGAUGAGCCUAGGUCGGAUUAGCUAGUUGGUGGGGUAAAGGCCUACCAAGGCGACGAUCCGUAACUGGUCUGAGAGGAUGAUCAGUCACACUGGAACUGAGACACGGUCCAGACUCCUACGGGAGGCAGCAGUGGGGAAUAUUGGACAAUGGGCGAAAGCCUGAUCCAGCCAUGCCGCGUGUGUGAAGAAGGUCUUCGGAUUGUAAAGCACUUUAGGUUGGGAGGAAGGGCAGUAAGUUAAUACCUUGCUGUUUUGACGUUACCAACAGAAUAAGCACCGGCUAACUUCGUG